rnacentral:lncRNA from 1 species
AUAAAUAUAAGUAACCAAAUAUGCAAUUAAUUAUUUUUUAAAUAAGUCACACAUAAACUGAUAGGACCCACAUGUGAAUAAAAGAGCUUAUGUUGAAAUGGGUGUUAAAAUGAGUGUUGCAAACACUUUUCAAAAUUUAAUUUCAUCCUCUAUAUAUCUACUCACUCCUCAUAGCUUGUUCAUGGAAUUUGUUGCUAAUGUUAUUGGUCAAAUGAUUUACUAUUUGAUGCUUACAACUUUGGUUAUUGUUCAGUUCGGUUUUCUGCCUGAAUUGAACCAUGAACAGUCCUACCAAAAGAGAUACAUAUCAUGAUUUUCUCUUCAUAUGACUAUGCCUAGACAAUUAGUUAGACCUUGUGAAC